rnacentral:rRNA from 1 species
GAUGAACGCUGGCGGCGUGCCUAAUACAUGCAAGUCGAGCGAACGGACGAGAAGCUUGCUUCUCUGAUGUUAGCGGCGGACGGGUGAGUAACACGUGGAUAACCUACCUAUAAGACUGGGAUAACUUCGGGAAACCGGAGCUAAUACCGGAUAAUAUUUUGAACCGCAUGGUUCAAAAGUGAAAGAAGGUCUUGCUGUCACUUAUAGAUGGAUCCGCGCUGCAUUAGCUAGUUGGUAAGGUAACGGCUUACCAAGGCAACGAUGCAUAGCCGACCUGAGAGGGUGAUCGGCCACACGGGAACUGAGACACGGUCCAGACUCCGACGGGAGGCAGCAGUAGGGAAUCUUCCGCAAUGGGCGAAAGCCUGACGGAGCAACGCCGCGGGAGGGAUGAAGGUCUUCGGAUCGGAAAACUCUGUUAUUAGGGAAGAACAUAUGUGUAAGUAACUGUGCACAUCUUGACGGUACCUAAUCAGAAAGCCACGGCUAACUACGUG